AGCGAACGCUGGCGGCAGGCUUAACACAUGCAAGUCGAGCGCCGUAGCAAUACGGAGCGGCAGACGGGUGAGUAACGCGUGGGAACAUGCACUUUGGUUUGGAAUAACUCAGGGAAACUUGAGCUAAUACCGGAUAAGCCCUACGGGGGACAGAUUUAUCGCCGAAGGAUUGGCCCGCGUCCGAUUAGCUAGUUGGUGUGGUAAUGGCGCACCCAGGCGACGAUCGGUAGCUGGUCUGAGAGGAUGAUCAGCCACACUGGGACUGAGACACGGCCCAGACUCCUACGGGAGGCAGCAGUGGGGAAUAUUGGACAAUGGGCGCAAGCCUGAUCCAGCCAUGCCGCGUGAGUGAUGAAGGCCCUAGGGUUGUAAAGCUCUUUCGGCGGGGACGAUAAUGACGGUACCCGCAGAAGAAGCCCCGGCUAACUUCGUGCCAGCCGCCGCGGUAAUAC
rnacentral:rRNA from 1 species